rnacentral:rRNA from 1 species
AGCAGCCGCGGUAAAACAGAGGGUGCGAGCGUUAAUCGGAUUUACUGGGCGUAAAGCGUGCGUAGGCGGCUUUUUAAGUCGGAUGUGAAAUCCCUGAGCUUAACUUAGGAAUUGCAUUCGAUACUGGGAAGCUAGAGUAUGGGAGAGGAUGGUAGAAUUCCAGGUGUAGCGGUGAAAUGCGUAGAGAUCUGGAGGAAUACCGAUGGCGAAGGCAGCCAUCUGGCCUAAUACUGACGCUGAGGUACGAAAGCAUGGGGAGCAAACAGGAUUAGAUACCCCUGUAGUCCCUGUCUCUUAUACC